rnacentral:rRNA from 1 species
GACGAACGCUGGCGGCGUGCCUAAUACAUGCAAGUAGAACGCUGAAGGAGGAGCUUGCUUCUCUGGAUGAGUUGCGAACGGGUGAGUAACGCGUAGGUAACCUGCCUGGUAGCGGGGGAUAACUAUUGGAAACGAUGGCUAAUACCGCAUAAUAUUGACUAUUGCAUGAUAGUCAGUUGAAAGGUGCAACUGCACCACUACCAGAUGGACCUGCGUUGUAUUAGCUAGUUGGUGGGGUAACGGCUCACCAAGGCGACGAUACAUAGCCGACCUGAGAGGGUGAUCGGCCACACUGGGACUGAGACACGGCCCAGACUCCUACGGGAGGCAGCAGUAGGGAAUCUUCGGCAAUGGACGGAAGUCUGACCGAGCAACGCCGCGUGAGUGAAGAAGGUUUUCGGAUCGUAAAGCUCUGUUGUAAGAGAAGAACGAGUGUGAGAGUGGAAAGCUCACACUGUGACGGUAUCUUACCAGAAAGGGACGGCUAACUACGUG